rnacentral:lncRNA from 1 species
UAUGGAAAAGACUGAGGAACAGUUUACUAAUCUGCACAUUGUUAAAUGUUCCUCAGGAACCAGAGAGUACACUUACCUUCUUGGCAUAGAUAUAUCGAAGACUGUGCAAGCAGGAAAAGAAAACUUGGUUGCUGUUUUAUAUUCUAAUGGAUCAAUCAGAAUAUAUGAUAGAGAAAGAUUAAAUGUACUCUGAGAAUUUAGUGGAUAUUCCGGACUUCUUAAUGUCCAGCUCUUCAAAGAUUACCCUUCCAAUAUUUUUAUCCAUUUUGAUAUUAACUGUAAUGAUCAUAUUAUUUGUGCUGGUACAGAAAAGUUGAUGAUGAUGCAUGGUUGGUGUUUUGGGAUGCAAGGAUGAAUUCUCAGGAUUUAUCUUCAACUAAAGACCCGAUUGGUGCAUAUUCAGAGACACAUAGCAAUGAUGUCACUCAAGUACGUUUCCAUCCCAGCAAUCCCAACAUGAUAAUCUCAGGUUCACUUGAUGGCCUGGUAAAUGUAUUUGAUAUUAAUGUUGAUAAUGAAGAGGGCGCACUGGUUACAACCUGUAACUCAAUUUCAUCAGUCAGCUGUAUCAGUUGGUCUGGGAUAGGUUACAAACAGAUUUACUGCAUGACACAUGAAAGAUUUUACUGGUGGGAUCUUAAUCAUCUGGAUGCUGAUGAACCAAUUACAUGUUAGAACAUCCAGGAUGUCGGAGAAAUGGUUAAUGUGAAAGAAGAUAUUUUAGACUAUUUGAUUGGUGGCCUAUAUCAUGAAAAGAUGGAAACAUUGCUUGUUAUCCUUCCUUUGGAUAACAAAGGAAGGAUUCAGUUGAUGAACAUUAGGAUUGGCCCAUGUGACUAGCCUUCAGGGAGGGCAUGCUGUACAGUUCGUUCUUUCUGUUGGAAUGUGCAGGAUGAUUCUUUGUUGACUGGAGGAGAAGAUGCACAGUUAUACUUCGGAAACCUGGAGCUAUAGAGAAGGCCUUUAUAAAGAAAGAGAGCAUGAAAAUGGCAUCCUCUGCGCACCAACAAGUACGAGUUAAUAGUAAUGAUUCUUAUAAAAGAAAGAAAAAGC